CCUACGGGUGGCUGCAGUAAGGAAUAUUGCGCAAUGGGCGAAAGCCUGACGCAGCGACGCCGCGUGGGGGAUGAAGGUCUUCGGAUUGUAAACCCCUUUCGGGAGGGAAGAUGGAGCGAGCAAUCGUUCGGACGGUACCUCCAGAAGCAGCCACGGCCAACUUCGUGCCAGCAGCCGCGGUAAUACGAAGGUGGCAAGCGUUGUUCGGAUUCACUGGGCGUACAGGGAGGGGGGGCGGUUUGCCAUGCCUGAAAGCUUCGGGCCCAACCCGGAAAGCGCAGAGGGUACUGCCAGGCUAGAGGGUGGGAGAGGAGCGCGGAAGGCCCGGUGUAGCGGUGAAAUGCGUAGAGAUCGGGAGGAAGGCCGGUGGCGAAGGCGGCGCUCUGGAACAUACCUGACGCUGAGACACGAAAGCGUGGGGAGCAAACAGGAUUAGAUACCCUGGUAGUC
rnacentral:rRNA from 1 species